rnacentral:lncRNA from 1 species
CACCCGUUCCUCCACCACCCGCCCAGCCAGCCAGGGGUAGAGCUCAGCCAGCUAGGGUGGAGCCCAGUCAGCUAGGGGUCGCCCGAGAUGGAGAGGCAGAUCAGGAGGUGGCUAGGCCUGUUUUUAAGCCCUCCCUGCCAGACCAGAUACUAUUGCUUCAGAUGCUGUGAUUACAGGUAUUGUCUCAGUUUGUCACGGAGAUGCCUCUAUAUUAUUUGACCCUGAUUCCACGUAUUCAUAUGUUUCCUCAUAUUUCGCCCAUUUUAUGGAUAUGCCCCGUGAGUCUUUAGUUUCAUCUGUUCAUGUAUCUACUCCUGUGGGCGAUACUAUUAUUGUAGACCACGUAUAUCGGUCAUGUUUAGUGACUUUUGGGGGUCUGGAGAUCUGUUCAUGUAUCUACUCCUGUGGGCGAUACUAUUAUUGUAGACCACGUAUAUCGGUCAUGUGUAGUGACUUUUGGGGGUCUGGAGACCCCGAGUGGACCUUUUUCUACUCAGUAUGGUUGACUUUGAUGUGAUAUUGGGUAUGGAUUGGUUAUCUCCAUGUCAUGUUGUUCAAGAUUAUCACUCUAAGACCGUGACAUUGAUAAUGUCAGGGCUAUCGAGGGUUGAGUGGAGCAGUUCUAUAGACUAUGUUCCUGGUAGAGUGAUUUCAUACUUGACGGCUCAGCGGAUGGUUGAGAAGGGUUGUCUAUCCUAUUUGGUUUUUGUGAGAGAUGUUAGUGCAAAGACUCCUACCAUUGAUUAUGUUUCGGUGGUACGGGAUUUUUCGGAUGUGUUUUCUGCAGACCUACCGGGCAUGCUGCCUGGCAGGGAUAUUGAUUUCGGUAUUGAUUUAGUGUCGGGCACUCAGCCCAUUUCUAUUCCACUGUAUCGUAUGGCACCGGCGGAGUUGAAGGAAUAACUUUAGGAACUUUUUGAUAAGGGGUUAAUUCAGCCUAGUAUGUCACCUUGGGGUGAACUGGUUCUAUUUGUAAAGAAGAAGGAUGGUUCCAUGAGGAUGUGCAUUAAUUACAGGCAGUUGAACAAGGUCAGAGUCAAGAACAAGAAUUAUUUUCCUCGUAUUGAUGAUUUAUUUGACCAGCUUCAGGGAGUGAGGGUGUUCUCCAAUAUUGAUUUGAGGUCCGGUUAUCACCAGCUGAAGAUUCGGGAUUCAGAUAUUCUUAAGACAACUUUCAGGACCCGUUAUGGCCAUUAUGAGUUCUUGGUGAUUUUGUUUGGGUUGACCAAUGCCCCAGCAGCGUUCAUGCAUUUGAUGAACACUAUAUUCCAGCCCUGUUUGGACUCAUUCAUUAUUGUAUUCAUUGAUGACAUCCUGGUGUACUCUCGUAGCCAGGAGGAGCAUGCUCAGGAUUUGAGGGUUGUAUUGCAGAGAUUGAGGGAGGAGAAGCUUUAUGCAAAGUUCUCCAAGUGUGAGUUUUGGCUCGGUUCAGUAGCAUUCUUGGGGCACGUGGUGUCCAGUGAGGGUAUUUAGGUUGAUCAGAAAAAGAUAGAGAUGGUGCAGAGUUGGCCUAGACCGUCCUCAACCAUGGAGAUUAGGAGCUUUCUUGGUUUGGCGGGCUAUUACCAUCGCUUUGUGGAAGUAUUUUUAUCUAUUGCAUUGCCCUUGACCAAAUUGACUGAAAAGGGUACUCCAUUUGGGUGGCCGGAUGAGUGUGAGGAGAGCUUUCAGAAGCUCAAGACUACUUUGACCACGGCUCCAGUGUUAGUUCUGCCAUCAGCUUCAGGAUCUUACAUCAUGUACUGUGAUGCCUCGAGGGUAUGUAUUGGAUAUGUUCUGAUGCAGGAGGGUAGGGUGAUUGUCUAUGCCUUGCGCCAGUUGAAGUCCCAUGAGAAGAACUAUCUUGUCCAUGAUCUUGAGUUAGCAGCCAUUGUUCACACCUUGAAGAUUUGGCAUCAUUAUUAUAUGGGGUACAUUGUGAGAUCUAUACUGAUCACCAGAGUUUGCAGCAUCUGUUUAAGUAGAAAGAUCUUAACUUGCAUCAGCGGAGAUGGUUAGAGCUUCUUAAGGACUACGAUAUCACUAUUUUGUACCAUCCGGGGAAGGCCAAUGUGGUGGCCGAUGCUUUGAGUCACCGGGCAGAGAGUUUGGGGAGUUUAGCAUAUCUCCCAGUAGCAGAGAGACCCUUGGAAUUGGAUGUUCAGGGCUUAGCAGGCUAGCUUGUCAGAUUGGAUAUUUCGGAGCCGAGUCGGGUAUUGGCUUGUGUGGUCUCCAGGUCUUCUCUCUUUGAUCGUAUCAGGGAGCGUCAGUAUGAUGACCCCCACCUGCUCGUUCUUCGGGAUAGGGUUCAGCGAGGUGAUGCUAGGGAUGUGACCAUUUGGUGAUGACUGCGUGUUAAGGAUGCAGGGCCGGAUAUGUGUGCCUAAUAUAGAUGGGCUCAGGGAGUUGAUUCUCGAGGAUGCCCAUAGCUCGCAGUAUUCCAUCCACCCGGGUGCCGCGAAGAUGUACUAGGAUUUGAGGCAGCACUAUUAGUGGAGGCGGAUGAAGAAGGAUAUAGUUGGAUUUGUAGCUCGGUGUCUCAACUGUCAGCAAGUUAAGUAUGAGCAUCAGAGACCGGGUGGCUUGCUUCAGAGGUUAGAGAUCCCAGAGUGGAAGUGGAAGUGGAUCACCAUGGACUUCGUAGUUGGGCUCCCACGGACUUCGAGGAAGUUCGAUUCUAUUUGGGUUAUUGUUGAUCGGCUGACCAAGUCCGUGCACUUCAUUCAAGUUGGUACUACUUACACUUCAUAGCGGUUGGCUGAGAUUUAUAUCCGAGAGGUUGUUCGCCUGCAUGGUGUUCCAGUUUCCAUCAUUUCAGAUAGAGGUACUCAAUUUACAUUGCAGUUUUGGAGGGCAGUGCAGCGAGAUUUAGGUACUCAGGUUGAGUUGAGCACAACUUUUCACUCUCAAACGGACGGGCAGUCCGAGCGUACUAUUCAGAUAUUGGAGGACAUGUUGCGUGCUUGUGUCAUUGACUUUGGGGGUUCAUGGGACCAGUUCGCGGAAUUUGCAUAUAACAACAGUAACCAGUCGAGUAUUCAGAUGGCUCCGUACGAGUCUUUAUAUGGGAGGAGGUGUAGAUCUCCGGUAGGAUGGUUUGAGUCGGGUGAGGCUGGGCUCUUGGGUACAGACUUGGUCCAGGAUACAUUAGAUAAGGCAAAAAUAAUUCAGGAGUGGCUUCGCACAGCGCAGUCUAGGCAGAAGAGCUACACGGACAAAAAGGUCUGUGAUGUGUCUUUUAUGGUUGGGGAGAAUGUUUUGCUGAAGGUAUCACCCAUGAAAGGUGUUAUGAGGUUUGGGAAGAGGGUCAAGUUGAGCCCCCGGUUCAUUGGGCCUUUUGAGGUGCUUCAGAGAAUUAGGGAGGUAGCUUAUAAGCUUGCCUUGCCACCCAGCUUGUCGAGUGUGCACCCAGUGUUUCAUGUUUUCAUGCUCCGAAAGUAUAUUGGAGAUCCGUCCCAUAUUUAGGACUUCAGCACGGUUCAGUUGGAGGGUGAUAUGACUUAUGAUGUGGAGCCGGUGGCCAUUUUGGAUCGGCAUGUUCGGAAGUUGACGUCAAAGGACAUAGCUUCGGUGAAGGUGCAGUGGAGAGGUCAGCCUGUGGAGGAGGACACUUGGGAGACCGAUCGAGAGAUGUGGAGUAUAUAUCCACACCUAUUUGAGACUCCAGGUAUGUUUCUAGACCCGUUCGAGGACGAUCGUUUAUUUAAGAUGGGGAGGAUGUAACAACACGAUCGGUCGUUUUGAGAGUUAUAGUCCCAUUUUCACCAUUUCUUCUUUCUUUUGUAUUUUUCAGCUAUAUUAUGAUAUAUCGGGUUAGUUGAUUUGGGUCCGGAGUGGUUUCGGAAUGAAUUGAGACACUUAGUCUCUUAUUUAGAACCUUAAGUUAGAAAAGUCAACCGGAUGUUGACUUAUGUGUAAACGGUCUUGGGUUUGAAUUCUGAUGUUUUCAUUAGCUUCUUUAGGUGAUUUUGGACUUAGGAGAGCAUCCGGAAUGUGAUUUAGAGGUCCGUAUUGGAAUUAGGCUUGAAUUGGCGAAAGUUUGAAAUUUGGCGAUUUCGGUCGGCAGUGGAAAAUUUGAUAUCGGGGUCGGAAUGGAUUUUUGAAAGUUGGAGUAGGUUCGUGGUGUCAUUUUUGAUAUGAGUGUAAAAUUUGAGGUCAUUCGGACAUGGUUUGGUUGGUUUCGGCAUCGGUUGUCGAAUUUGGAAGUUUAGAAGUUCUUAGGCUUGAAUCCGAGGGUAAUUUGGUAUUUUGAUGGUGUUUUGAGUGAUUCGAAGGCUCGACUAAGUUCGUAUGUUGAUAUAUAACUUGUUGGUAUGUUUGGUUGAGGUCCUGAGGGGCUCGGGAUGAUUCCGGAUGGCUAACGGGAGGUUUGGAAUUUGAAAAUGCAGUUGAACUGCUGCUGGUGGUGUUUUUCCACACAUGCGGAGGUGGAGCCGCAGGUGCGAGUUCGCAGGUGCGCUUGGGGAGCCGCAGAUGUGGACAAAGAGGACCUGGGCUGGAACCGCAGGUGCAUAAGAGAGGUCGCAUCUACGAGCACGCAGAUGCGAGGAUGAGUCGCAGAUGCGGAAUUGAGGAGUUGGUCGAUUUCCGCAGAAGCGGAGAAGGAUGCGCAAGUGCGCAAUCGUAGGUGCGAGAUUCGGCCGCAGAUGCGGAACCUGGGAUUUUAAGUGAGUUCCGCACUUGUGAUGAAAAUUUUGCAUGUGCAGUAUCGCAGAAGCGUAAAAGGGACCGCAGGUACGAUUUCGCUGGGCAGAAGGUAUAAAAAGGGGACUUCGUGAUUUUUGCACAUUUCCACCAUUUUCAAUUCGGACCUUGGAGAUUUUGGAGUAAUAUUUGAAGGGGAUUCAAGGGUUUUCAUAGAGGUAAGUUGCUUGAGCUCUAAUAAUCCUAGCUAUGGUAUUUAUCCGUUAUUUUCUCAUCUAAUUAGUGGGAUUUAGGAGUGAAAAUAAGGGGUUAGGGCUUGGGAUUUUUGAGAGUGUAAUUUGAGGAUUUGAGGGAUCAAAUGACGUCGGAUUUUGAUAAAUUUAGUAUGGGUAGACUCGUGAGUGAAUGGGCUUUCGGGUUUUGUGACUUGUCGGAUUUCGAGAUGUGGGCCUGGGGGCCGGGUUUGAGUGAAUUUUGGGAUUUGGCCUAUAAACUGGUAUUUUUCUUGUGGGAUUCAUUCCUUUAGCUCAUAUUGAUCGUAUUUUAUUGCUCGUGGCUAGACUAAGGUAAUUUGUAGGUCAGUUUGAGAGGAAAUAGCAUUUCGGAGUAGGAGUUCUACGUUGUUGAGGUAAGUAAUAGUUUUAAAUCUGGUCUUGAGGGUAUGAAACCCAAAAUUCGGUAUAAUGUGACUAUUUGGAGGUGGCACACAUGCUAGGUGACGGGCGUGUGGGUGUACGCCGUGAGGGAUUGAGACUUGGUCCGUCCCGGGAGACUGUGAAGUCUAAUAGCCUUUAUUUGUGUUUAUAUGCAUUCCUGUCUACAAGAACUUAACUGUCUUUCAUGUUAGAAAUCAUGCUUAGGCUAUAUUCCUGCUCAUGGUAGUUAUAUUCAGUCAUAGUGAUUCUUGUACAUGUUUACCUCAGUCUUUGCAAUUUUUCCUGAUGAUAUACUGUAACACUUUGAUUUGGGUUGUUUUCCCUUUCUUUAUUGAGAGUUAUAAGACUAGAGAGGUUCAUGACUGAGUGAGGCCAAGGGCCUAUUAGUGGGGUAGAAUGAACACUACUCAGUAUGAGACCAAAUUCAUGGAUUUAUCAUGCUAUGGAGUUAUUCUGAUCCUUACUGAGAGGGAGAGGGUGCGAAGGUUUAUAGAUGGUCUUACAUAUGGUAUCAGGCUACAGAUGGCCAGAGAGAUCGAGGAUGAUAUUUCUUUUACUCGGGUUGUGGAGAUCGCCAGGAGGAUCGAGCACAUUAGAGGUCAGAGUAGGGAGACAGCCUCUAACACGAGACCUCGCUAUUUUUUAGGAUUCAGUGGUUCCACAUCUGGAGGCCAAGGUCGGUUUAUGAGGGGCCAGUCUAGCAAACCAGUUUAUUAUUCCCCACCUCCUAGUCAAGGAGCUUCGGUACAAUCUUCAUUCAGUGCACUCCCAACUCAGAUCUCUUAUCGCGCCCCAUCAAUUUAGGGUUCGUCAAUAUCGGGCUCUUCCAGUGGUUAUUUUAGUUCACGGGGUCAGAUUCAGACCCAACAGUCAUUUCCCGUUCAAGGUUGCUACGAGUGUAGGGAGUUAGGACAUGUGAGGGGUAUUACCAUUAUUUUCUCGGAGGUACCGUGCAGUAGGGAGGCCAUGUUAUGACUCACGCACCAAUUACUAUACCACCCACUCAACCAGUGCGAGGUGGAGGUCGUACGAGAAGAGGUCGCCCUAGAGGGAGAGGUCAGUUAGGUGGUGGGAAAGCUCGUUGUUAUGCAUUUCCCGCCAGGACAUAGGCAAUUGCCUCCAACGCCAUGUUCAUAGGUAUUGUUUUUGUGUGCAACAGAGAUGCUUCCGUGUUAUUUUACCCUGGUUUCACUUAUUCAUAUGUGUCGUUAUACAUUGCUUAUUAUUUGGAUAUGUCUCGUGAUUCUUUAGAUAUUUAUGUUCAUGUAUCUACACCGCUGGGUGAUUCUAUUAUGGUGGACCAUGUAUAUCGCUCAUGUGUGGUUAAGAGACUAGAGUUGAUCUUUUAUUGUUCAGCAUGGUGGAUUUUGAUGUGAUUUUGGGCAUGGAUUGGUUAUCACCAUAUCACGCUAUUUUUUAUUAUCACGCUAAGACUGUGAUGUUGGCUAUAUUAGGUUUGCCAAGGUUGGAGUGGAUAGGCUCCAUGGAUCAUGUUCUUAAUAGAGUAGUGUCUUUUCUGAAAGCGCAACGGAUGGCUGAGAAAGGAUGUUUGACGUAUUUGACCUUCAUGAGAUAUAUUAGUGCUAAUACUCCUACUGUUAAGUCAAUUCCAGUAGUAAGGGAGUUUCCAGAUGUGUUUCCUGCAGAUCAUUCGGGCAUGCCACCUAACAGUGAUAUUGAUUUUGGUAUAGAUUUGGUGUCGGGCACUCAACACAUCUCUAUUACACCAUAUCGCAUGGCACUAGUGGAGUUGAAGGAAUUGACGGACAGUUACAAGAAUUGCUUGAUAUGGGUUUCAUCAAGCCUAGUGUGUCACCUUGGGGUGCACCGAUGCUAUUUGUGAAGAAGAAAGAUGGUUCUAUUAGGAUGUGCAUUGACUACAGGUAGUUGAACAAGGUUAAUAUUAAGAACAAGUACCCACUACCGCAUAUUGAUGACUUAUUUGAUCAGCUUCAGGGUGCUAGGGUGUUCUCGAAGAUUGAUUUGAGAUCGGGGUAUCAUCAGUUGAAUAUUAGGGCUUUAGAUAUUCUAAAGACUAUUGUCCAGACCCAUUAUGGCCAUUAUGAGUUUUUGGCAAUGUCGUUUGGGUUGACUAAUGCCCCAGCAGCUGUCAUGCACUUAAUGAAUAGCGUGUUUCAGCCCUAUCUAGAUUCCUUCGUCAUAGUUUUCAUUAAUGAUAUAUUGGUGUAUUCUCGCAACUGGGAGGAUCAUGAGCAGCACUUGAGGAUCAUGCUCUAGACUUUGAGGGAGAAGAAGCUAUAUGCUAAAUUCUUUAAGUGCGAGUUUUGGUUAGACUCGAUGGCAUUCUUGGGUAAUGUGGUAUCCAGUGAUGGGAUUAAGGUAGAUCCGAAGAAGAUUGAGGCAGUUCAGAGUUUGCCGAGACCUUAUAUUGCUAUAGAGAGAUAAGGUUUCCUUGGAUUGGCUGGGUAUUAUCGUCGUUUUGUGGAGGGUCUUUCAUCUAUAGCAGCCCCAUUGACUAGAUUGACAUAGAAGGGUACCCUAUUCAGGUGGUAUGAUAAGUGUGAUGAGAGAUUUCAGAAGAUCAAGACUGUUUGACUACCUCUCUAGUUCUGGUUUUGCCUUCGGGAUUGGGUUCUUAUACACUCUAUUGUGAUGCUUCACGGAUUGGCAUUGGUUGUGUAUUGAUUCAGGAUUGUAGAGUGAUUGCUUAUGCUUCACGUCAGUUGAAGCCCUAUGAGAAGAACUAUCCAUUGCACGAUUUGGAGUUGUCAACCAUUGUUCACGUGCUUAAGAUUUGGCGGCACUAUCUUUAUGGUAUGUCUUGUGAGGUGUUCACGGAUCACAAGAGUUUCCAUAAUUUAUUCAAGUAAAAGGAUCUGAGCUUGAGGCAUCGGAGGUGGUUAAAGCUACUAAAGGACUAUAAUAUUACCAUUCUUUAUCAUCCGAGAAAGGCCAAUGUGGUAGCCAAAGCAUUAAGUAGGAAGACAGAGAGCAUGGGGAGCCUUGCUUUUAUCCGAGUUGGGGAUAGACCUUUAACUUUGGAUGUUUAGGCCUUGGCCAAUAGGUUCAUGAGGAUGGAUAUUUCAGAGCCUAGCAGGGCUCUUCCGUGUGUUGUAUCAUGGUUGUAUUUGUUUAAGCGCAUCAAGGCGCGUCAAUAUGAUGAUCCCCACUUGCUUGUCCUAAGGGACACGAUGUAACACGGUGAUAACAAAGAGGUUACUAUUAGUGAUGAUGGGGUAUUGAGACUUCAGGGCCGCAUUUGUGUGCCUAAUAUGGAUGGAAUGUGAGAGUUGAUACUUAAGGAAGCCCAUAGUUUGCAGUAUUCCAUUCAUUUGGGUGCCAUGAAGAUGAACCAGGACUUGAGGCAGCACAAUUGGUGGCAGAGGAUGAAGAAUUGUUGAGUAUGUUGCUCGAUUUUUGAACUGGCAGUAGGUUAAGUACGAACAUCAGAGACAGGGUGGUUUGCUUCAGAGGCUAGAUAUUCUAGAUUGAAAGUGGGAGCAUAUCCUUAUGGAUUUUGUAGUUGGGCUUCCACGGACCUUGAGGAGAUUUGAUGCAGUGUGGGUUAUUAUGAACAUACUAACCAAGUUUGCACACUUCUUUCCAGUCAUGACUACCUACUCUUCAGAGUAGCUUGCUCAGAUUUAUCUUCGUGAGAUUGUUCACCUUCAUGGUAUACCCGUGCUAUUAUCUUAGAUCGAGGCACACAAUUUACAUUGCAUUUUUGGAGAGAAGUGCAUCAUGAGUUAGGCACACAGGUUGAGCUGAGUAUGACAUUUCAUCCCUAGACAGACGGACAGUCUGAGCGUACUAUUCAGAUAUUGGAGGAUAUGUUAUGAGCAUGUGUCAUUGAUUUUGGGGGAUUAUGGGAUCAGUUUCUACCAUUAACAGAGUUUGCCUACAACAACAACUAUCAGUUGAGUAUCCAUAUGGGAGGCAAUGUUGUUCUCUGAUUGGUUGGUUUGAGCCUAGGGAGGCUAGAUUGUUGGGCACUGAUUUGGUCUGUGAUGCUUUGGAGAAGGUGAAGCUGAUUCAGGAGCGGCUUCGUACAGCGUAGUCCAGGCAGAAGAGUUAUCCAAACAGGAAGGCUCGUGAUGUGGCAUACAUAGUGGGUGAGAAGGUUCUACUCAUAGUUUCACCCAUGAAGGGUAUGAUGAGGUUCGGGAAGAAGGAAAAGUUGAGCCCUCGGUAUAUUGGUCCUUUUGAGGUGCUAGAGAGAGUUGGAGAGGUGGCCUACAGACUUGUCUUGCCACCUAGUCUAUUGGGAGUCCACCUAGUGUUUCAUGUUUCCAUGAUCCGAAAGAAUAAUGGGGAUCCGUCAUAUGUUUUGGACUUCAUCUCGGUGCAGUUGGACAAGGAUUUGACUUAUGAUGUGGAGCCAGUGGCCAUUUUGGACUAGCAGGUUAGAAAGUUGAGGUCGAAGAGGAUAGCAUCGGUAAAGGUUCAUUAGAGAGGUCAGCCGACCGAGGACGCUACUUGGGAGAUCGAGCAGGAGAUGCAUAGAAGAUAUCCUCACUUUUUUUAGACCCCAUGUAUGAUUCUAGACCCAUUCAAGGACGAAUGUUUGUUUAAGAGGGGGAGAAUGUAAUGAUCCGGUCUAUCAUUUUGUAUAUUUGAACCCCAUUUCCCCUACUUGAUGCUUUACAUAUGAUUAUUUGUUGUUAUGUGUCCUGCGGGGUUGGUUGGUUUAGCUUUGGGAGAGUUUUGGAUUGAAUUGGGACACUCAGUCUCAAGGUUGGGUGCUUAAGUUAAAAUAGUUGACCGAAAUUUGAUUUUUGUGUAGACGACCCCGAAAUGGUGUUUUGAUGGUUCCAAUAGGUUUGUAUAGUAAUUUUUGACUUAGGCGUAUGUCCGAAUUUGGAUUUGGAGGUCCAUAUGUUGAUUUGGUGCUUUUUGGCGAAAGUUGAAGGUUUGGAAGGUUCAUGGGUUUGACUGGGAGUUGACUUUGAUGAUAUUCGGUUAAUAUUGUGGUUCCAGGAGUUGGAAUAGGUUUUUUGUAUCAUAUGAGAAUUGUAUGCAAAAUUUGAGGCCAAUCCAUGUUGAUUUGAUGUGGUUCGGCAUGAGUUUUGGAAGUUGGAAGUUCAUUACUUUUCUUAGGAUUGAAUUGAGAUGAAAUUCGUAGUUUUGAUGCUGUUUUGUGUUAUUUUAGGCCUUGAGUAGGUCCGUAUUAUAUUUUGGGAUUGGUUGGUGUGAUUGGACAGGGUUCUGGGGGCCUCGGGUGUGUUUCGGAUUAAGUUCGGAUCACUUUGGUCUAUGUUGGCAUUUCUAAAGAACUUCUGGGUUAUGGUGCUUUCACACCUGCAAUGGAUGGGCUGCAAGUGCGAGUCCGCGGAUGUGGACCAGGAGCCACAAAAGCAGAAUUUGGUUGGAGGACCAGGGGGUGCAGAUGCGGAAGGCUUAGCGCAGAAGCGAGGCCACACCAGCGAUAGGGGACAACAGAAGUGGGUGCGCAGCUGCGUGGGGGUUGACCACAUAAGCGGGAGGUCGAGACUUAAGUGGAACUUGCAGAUGUGAGUUGUUGACCGCAAAUGCGGCACUGCAGAUGCGGUAAUUUGGACCGAAAAUGCAGUAUCACUAGGCAGACUUUAUAUCUCGAGGGGUUUGGUCAUUUUUCAUUAUUUGGAGUCAUGGAGCUCGGUUUGGAGGCGAUUUUUGGGAGACUUUUCACUACAAUUGAAGACGUAAGUGAAGUUUACUUAAUUUUGAUGUUAGAUAUUGAUUACCUAUGGAUGAUUACACCUAGUUUAGGUGAAUUAAAGGUGAAAUUUGGGGGGGGGGAGGGGUUACUAUGAUUUUGGAGAGUUAAAAUUGAUGAUUUGAGGGUCGAUUUGAGGUUGGUUCUGGAUGAAACACACAUAUUUAGACUCGUAUCGGAAUGGGUGUUCGAAAUUUGUAACUUUUGACGUGUUUUGGGGUACGGGCCCGAGGUUGGCUUUUUGAGUUGACUUUGCAUAUUUGAAUCAAGAUCUUAGUUUUAUGGUUUGGGGUUGUUUCCUAUGGCUUUUAUUGAUGAUACUAAGUUAUUUUGGCUAGAUUCGAGUCGCUCGGAAGCCGAUUCACGUGGGAAAGUUUUUUUUGGAGUAUUUAUUCAUGCGUUCUGAGGUAAGUAACAUAUCUAAACUUGGUUUGAAGAUAAUUAUCCAUGUGGACUAUGAUAUUUGAGAUAUUUUGGGGGUGACGCACGUUCUAGGUGAUGGGCGUGUGUGCGUAUACCAGGGUAUUCAUGAUCCGUCCUUAGGCCACUAUAAGACUUAUUUGCUUUCAUGCCUCGUUAUAUCUAUAGUUUCUCUACUUGUAUGAUUAUUUGAGUUAUGAUUCAUGUUAGAAAUUAUGUUUAGGCUAUGUACUUAUUUGUUAGAGACAUGAUAGGGCUAUUCUUGUUGUUUGAGUUGUUUGCCUUAAUUAUAGUCAUAUUCUCGGUCAUAAUUCAUCACUCACAUGUUAUCUCUCAGUCUUUGUACAUUAUUUGUAAGUCAUAUCACAUGCUGUUGUUGCCUUCUAUAUGUGAUACUGUUUGAGCUGAGUUCCAUGAGAUGUAAGCCAUUGAGACUUAAGUGGUUGAUGACUGAUGUGGUCCAUAGAGCCGUGUUGUGAGUUAUAUUGGAUUGGUUGCACGCUGCUACGGGUUGAUAUUUGGAUUGGGUUGCUCUCUGCAACUGUUAUAUUGGUUUUUGAUUAGCUCUUGGGCAAGUAUCCACCCCUCUAGAAUCUAAUAUUACAAUGACCACAUGCACAAAUUUAUUAAUGUGCUUUUGUGAGGGGCAUUUAUACCAGGUACCCGUAGAGUGUUGAGUGUGGUUGUGUGUGUGAUGGUGAGGGACACUUGUGUUAGGCACCGUGAGUCUUCUGAGAAUGAGUGUACUUGAUGAUUUCAGUGUGAUGUUAUUAACUUGACAUGUAUGCAUAGAGAUGUAUUUUCCUUAUGCUAGCUGGUAAACAAAAUAUCUUAUCUGUUGUUGAAUGUUUGAAAAAUUACACCCUUGAUAAACUCACAUUUUAGAAAUUUCGGUGAAAGAUUGGGCUUUGACUAUUAUACUUAGAAAGAAAAUCUAAUUUUUCGUAAUUAUGAAUGAGUUGAACAUGAUAUCUUUUUAGUUAUUUACUGUUACUGUCUUUAAUAUUAUGAGUUGUUAUUGAUUUUUGGUGUUGGACACUCACUUUCUUCCAAGUUCGUUACUGCUUUUAGACCAAGGUUAGGUUUGUUACAUAUUAAGUACAUGGGAUCGGUUGUACUCAUACUAUACUUUGUACUUUAUAUGUUGAUCCAGGUACUUCCGGACGUGGUGAUUGCUAGAGUUCGCACUGGUACCAUCUUGUGGAGACUAUGAGGUGGCUGUUAUGUCGCUC